rnacentral:lncRNA from 1 species
GGCCGAUUUAUUUAACUGCUAGUUAAGAGCUUUCUGCAUAGUGGGCUGGGAUACCGCACAGCUGUGGCAGCCAGGCUUGGGGCUGCAGCGACUGGGGCUUGCGCGCCCGCUGCCCCUGCGGCUGAUCGCCGCUCCGGCUCCCGGUGCACUCAGGGUGCCGCCACCGCCGCUUCCUUCUCUUCCCCACUGGCUGCAGAGAGUGAAUAUGCCCCGGCCUCCUGUCUGCUCUUCUGUCUGUACUUCUGUCAGUCUGACCGGCAGUCAGUCAGUCUGGCAGCUCAGCGCAGGAUUCUCGCCUUGCUGCGCUCUGCUCUUGAAGCUGUCACUCUCUCAGAAUGCCAGUCUUUGCGUUGGUCUAUCCGCCCCUCAGAGUCCCUUGAUCCCACCAGCAAUGCAGGGUCUCUCUUGCCGUCUUCUGUGCCUAUACUGCCUCUCCUACUCUGAGCCCCUGGCCACUUCCCUCGGUCAGAGGAGGGCGUCUGGAGGGAGGGAGCACACGAGUGUUUCUUUCUCUCUUUCUAUCCUCUAUUUCUGUGUCUGUCUCUGCCUACUGAGUCAGCCAGAGUGUCUCUCUCUCUCUCUCUCUCUC